rnacentral:rRNA from 1 species
UACGAAGGGGGCUAGCGUUGCUCGGAUUGACUGGGCGUAAAGGGCGCGUAGGCGGUUUGCAUAGUCAGACGUGAAAUUCCUGGGCUUAACCUGGGGGCUGCGUUUGAUACGUGUUUGCUAGAGUGGGGAAGAGGGUCGUGGAAUUCCCAGUGUAGAGGUGAAAUUCGUAGAUAUUGGGAAGAACACCGGUGGCGAAGGCGGCGACCUGGUCCUUGACUGACGCUGAGGCGCGAAAGCGUGGGGAGCAAACAGG